UAGGGAAUCUUCCGCAAUGGACGCAAGUCUGACGGAGCAACGCCGCGUGAGUGAAGAAGGUUUUCGGAUCGUAAAACUCUGUUGUAAGAGAAGAACAAAUUGUAGAGUAACUGCUACAGUCUUGACGGUAUCUUACCAGAAAGCCACGGCUAACUACGUGCCAGCAGCCGCGGUAAUACGUAGGUGGCAAGCGUUGUCCGGAUUUAUUGGGCGUAAAGGGGGCGCAGGCUGCUUCUUAAGUCUGAUGUGAAAGCCCACGGCUCAACCGUGGAGGGUCAUUGGAAACUAAUAAACUUGAGUGCAGGAGAGAAAAGUGGAAUUCCUAGUGUAGCGGUGAAAUGCGUAGAGAUUAGGAGGAACACCGGUGGCGAAAGCGGCUUUUUGGCCUGCAACUGACACUGAGGCGCGAAAGCGUGGGGAGCAAACAGG
rnacentral:rRNA from 1 species